CUUGUACAAAGACUUACUUUUUGUGAAGAUAUUUUCGUAUAAUUAUUUUUGUACCCCAAGACCCAUUGGAAAAGUCCACAACUAUGACAAUUCCCCUUUUUACCUCCCUCCUCUGUUGCAACGUGUUAUGAUGAAAACCAGAGUGCCCCUCAAAGUGAAGGAGCAUGGGCAGUCAGGAGAGAGGCCAAGACUCCUGGAUAAUAUCAACAUAACUCAGUCAGCAUAGGCCUAUCACACAUGGUACUGGACUCUGGACCAACCUCAGACUGUGUGUGUCUGCCAGGGGGGUUAGAACUAGAGUUUUGACCUGAUGGAUGUGCCAGAGGCGUGAGGGAUACCCACUGCAGGUGUCUCCCUUAACAGAGAGAAGAAACGGUCUGGCAGCAAUGACUACAUUGGAAGAAAAGAGGCAUGGCCAGAGAAGAGGUCUGGGAAAAGAGGGAUGGGCUACUGUCUAUCAAGGAUCAGGUGAUUAGGAACGCUGCUCCCUUCUAACAUUCCUGCCCGGCACAGACAGACAAGCCCUAUAUGGGCUGACCCGGAGAGACCAGCCCUCUCCACGGUCCAACCACCGCCAGGAAUGCACAAGCCAGCAAUGCUCAGGAAGAGACAUCGAUCUGACCUGUCUGUCUAUCAGUCUGCUCGUCCCAUGGAUCCAUCCCUUCAUCCGUCAAUCAGUACAUCUCUAUCACUCUAACAGUCCGUCCAAUGGAUCCCUCCUUGAUCUAGGCCUAGAUGUGCCUAUCACUGUAUCAGUGGGACAUCUCAGAGAGUGAUAUGUCUAUUGCCAGGAAUACACAAACAGCAACCUCAGGAAUAGUUGGAGCUCUCUCCUAAACCGGUAAAAGCCGUUACAGAGUAGGAUAAGUUUCCCCUAGUCAUGGUCAGUUUAGCAUCUUUUUCCCUUAACGAUCUAAGUUAGCAGGCCAUGUUGUGGUGGUGUUAGCUCAGCUGGUCCUAGAACUGUGCUUAGAGAGCCUGCUGCACCAUCGAACAACACUGUGAGCCCAUCAGACAGAGACAGGCAGACUCUGAACCCUUCCAAGAGAGUUAAUCUUUAUUUACUGCUCUACACCAAACGUUAGGAGAAGAGAUUUGAAACAAAUGUGUUUCCACUGAUCCCUACAGGGCCUGAUCCAGUUGUGUUUUGAAACUGGGCCAAGCAGCAGUCUGGUAGAGCUGCAGAGGGAAGGACUGCUCUGAGAUCAGUUGAAGUAUGUUUCUCUGAGUGAGACUGAUCCAGGGUGGCAUUAUCUGAUAUUGAUGGGCUACGUAAGGUAGAGGCUGGACACAAGGUAGCCAAUGCGCAAUGCUCAACAUUGUUAUCAGACAUUUCUACAGUGCACAAUUAGUAACACCAUCAACCAUUGGCCAGGUGGAAGGAAUAAGGAUAUGACACUGCAGUGACUGGCCAUCAUAGAUGCUUUGUGAUGAAGGCAUCAUGUCGAAUCAGGAUGACCGCCGUUUAACUCAGAGCUCUCUCUCCAGGUGAGACAUCAGCACUCUGGAUAAGAGACGGAAUACAGAAAGAAGCUCGGUAUUCCGAGCGGAGUGAUCGGAAUACACAUUCAUCUUCCGGUUAAUCCUCUCGGAAAACAGGGAGAGUGAGAGGGCAAAGGGCCUGACACAUUCCUUCCACCUCCCGCCCGGAGAAAGGGAUGAAGAUGGAUAGAGAGAGAGGGAGGAGAAGGAGGAGGAGGGAUACAGUGAUAGAACAAUCCUCUUGGAAUUUCUCUUGAAGAUAUGCUCUGGAAUUUAAAGCUGUCUCAGGUAGAGAGAGAUGGGAAGAAUCUGACAACAGUGUCAUGUAUGGAAAAAUAACUCAUAUAGGCCUGUACAGACAAUGGUGUAUCAUGCAUAUAGUAUGAAACAAAUGCAUAUUACACUUAAUCUUUCACAUAGGGUAUUUGGAAAUGAUCACUUUUAGUCCAGGAAGGCCAUGGAGUCAGCUAGGUUUGAUUGACAAAUGUCUCGGCUGCUUGUUUGAAUACCAGAAGGUAAAAAGACAGCAACCAGCGGACGACAAUGUCUUUGAGUGUUGUCUGUGUCUGUGCUCGUUAUCAGUAUAGAAAAGUGGACACAUGGUUUUCCGUAACCAUGCUCACUCACAGAAUUUUUCCCUCUGAAUUGUAGGCCAAGUCACUGUCUAUACCAUGUGCCAUUCUCUAGCUGUGGACAUCUACACAUUCCUGCACGGUCAGCAUGUUCAAUCCCAAAGCCUCUCAAGACUUCCUAAUUCUAUCGCCACUGAUUCCAAACUUACUGUACCAUAAAUACAUCAGAUUGCAUCUGAUCGUACUUCUGAUUUUCUGCCUUACUUUAGCUGUUACUGAGGUAUUCUCCCUCCCCUGGCCUAGUGCUACACUACAUACAGUAGACCUACCAUCACACCUUAGCUGUUACUGAGGUAUUCUCCCUCCCCUGGCCUAGUGCUACACUACAUACAGUAGACCUAGCAUCACACCUUAGAAGCCCAAUGCAUGCAAUUUCUUGCAUGGUGUUAUCAGAAAGUCUGUUAUUUUCGGUAAUACGACCGGAAGCGUUCUUACUAAUUGCGUGCCAUAUAUUUACCUCGCCUUAAAUCACGUAAAGAAUUUCUCCGGGUAGAGGAGGAUGGAGAGAUGUGGAGCGGAGAAGACUGAAGAUGUAUAAUGUGUAGGU